CGCCCCACAGGUCGCUUCGCUGGACGCCCGCCUUCCCGCGCUGCCCGCCUUUGUGUUUGGUCAGGCGCGGUCGUCGACCCCCGGGCCCUGUGGGAUGGUGGACGCGUCACCGCCGCGCUCGCGACGAGCCCGAGAGAACCUUCCAGAACCUCCCAGAACCUUCUAGUUCGGGUGCCACACAGUCGUACGUGCCCACCCCAAAGCCAGCCCUCCCGUAUGUGCCCACUUCGGGCCCGCUUGCCCGCAGUGCAGGGAGGCCGACUGACGUCCGCUCCUGGUGACAGCCAUGCUGGCCACGUGGAGAGUCCUACAGCCCAUGUGCUCUCUGGGCCUCUGCCCCGGUAACCAGGGGUCGCACUGUCCUGGGGAGCCCUGGCCAGGGGGCCCGCACGGCUUUUGCUCUCCCAGUGGCCGGUGCUUCCGGGUGAGCCAGGCUGGCAGGUUGUGCCGAGGUCGCCAGGGCCUAAGGAGAGAUGAGGCAUGGGGAGGUCAGGGUGUUCCUCCAGGUCCCCGAUCCUCCCAUCCAGGCGCUGCUGACUCGGCUGGGUAAACGUUCCUGGGGGCCCAAGCGCGGCUCAGCCACACCCGGUGGGUGCUGGUGAGGAUUAACAAAGAGAAGAGGAAUCACCGUCCCUCUUGCAGAGUGUGGGACAGGUGGACAGGCUUGGCAGUGCAGGCAGCGGGAGGUGGGAGCCCUGGGACCCUGCAGUUGCCACUCCGGAGACUUUCCCUAGGCACAGAGUCAGAUGCACUGGAGGUACUCCUUCAGGGACAAUUCCUGCAGCGUUGCUUGUGUCCUGGAAUCAGAGUCUGAAUGUCCAACAACAGCAGCGCGGCUCUCCGAGUGCACAGUGGAGAUCAUCUCAGGACAUCUAAAGCAACAGGAGCAACGUGUCUUGGCCAUUCCCAGGGAAGGGGAGAGUUUUAAUUAAGGCCGCGGCUGACUGGCAGGCAGGAUGGAGCCCAAGAAAGCGUAUUCUCCGCGGUGCUGCCAGUCACUUGUGCUGCAUUAGAAGAAGACCCUUCAGUACAGCCGCAAAUCUUUAUAAACAAGCAUUUGAUGAUACUUGAUGAUGGGCUGGGCAUACAGUGGUGAGGAAAACAGCACUUGGGGAGCUCACAGUCUACUGGAGAAGACAUCUCAUAAAAUACUGACAUUUAAGCGCUUUAUACUGGCUCAAUAUGAGUACUAACUUAUUUAAUGCAAUGUUAAACCCUGAAAUGUUAGCAUAUAAUUAUCUCAUUGUUUGCACUUCCCAGCCUCCAGAACUGUGAGAAAAUAAUUUUUUUUCUGUAAAUUA